CAGUAAAGGGCCUUUCUGACAUUGGUGCUUUCCAACACUCCCCCAACCAUUGUUCAAGGGUGGUUGGUUCGAAGCCUACUGUUUGUCUCCUCCUCAGCAUGUGGAACCACAAUCAUCCGGGCCUCGUCACCAUUGCUCAAGGGGAAGAUGGAGGCAUUUCGUCUGAGCCGGGUUGGCAAGCUGGAAAUGCGGCAGAAGUGGAUGUUGCAGAAUGGUGAGUUAAGGGCUGAAAUGACACGGCGUUCAGCUGCCUUUGUAUGAGAUGUUCCCAGGACGCUGUAAGAGCACUGUGGAAUGCGAGUGCUUGCCCAGCUUCCUAAAGAGCUGGAAGCAGGACAGUUUCUGGCUUGUCUCCAAUUGAAGGAUAGAGGCAGUGCUUUGUGCCUUCCACCUGUAGAGCAAUGGAGGGCACGGCUGAGAGCAAAGGGCCCUUUCAGACAUAGGUGCAUUCUGACACUCUCUGCCCCAGUGCACAAUGGCGGUUUGUAGAAAGCCUAUUGUGUGCUCCUGCUAAGCAUGUGGAGGCACAAUCAUCUGGGCCUCGUCCCUAUUGCUGAAGGGGAAGAUGUAGGCAUUUCGUCUGAGCCUGGUUGGCCAGGUGGAAAUCUGGCAGAAGCAGAAGUUCCAAAUCGGAGAGUUAAGCGCUGAAAGGAAACGGCAUAUCAGCUGCCUUUGGAUGAGAUGUUGCCAGGACACAGAAAGAGCACUGUUGAAAGCGAGUUCCUUCUCAGCUUCCUAAAGAGAUGGAAGGAAGAUGGUCUAUGGCUUGCCGCCCCUGGAGUAGUGGAGCAAGUGCAUUGUGCAUCCCACGUCUAGAGCAAUGGAGGGCACGGCUGAGAGCAAAGGGGUCUUUCGGACAUAGCUGCUUUCCGACACUCUCUCCAGCAGUGCACAAUGGUGGUUGGAAAAAGGCGUGCAGUCUAUCGCCUCCUAAGCACGUGGACACUCAAUCAUUUGGGACUCAGCCCAGUAGCUUAACGGGAAGGUGUAGGCAUUUCGUCUUAGCCGGGUUGGCAAGGUGGAACUGCGGCAGGAGCAGAAGUCCUAAAGCGGUGAGGUAUGCGCUGGGAUGAAAUGGCAUUUGUGCUGCCUUUGUAUGAGAGUGUCCUCGUAUGCUGUAACAGCACUGUGUAAAGCGAGUUCUUUCUCAGCUUCCUAAAGAGCUGGAAGCAAGAAACUUUAUGGCUUGUCUCCCAUUGAAGGAUGGAGGCAGUGCUUUGUGCCGUCCACCUCUGGAGCAAUGGAGGGCACGGCUGAGAGUAAUGGGGUCUUUCUGCCGUUGGUGCUUUUUGACACUCUCCCAACCAUUGCACUUGGUGGUUAGUUAAAAGCCUAUUGUCUCUCUCAUCCUCAG
rnacentral:lncRNA from 1 species